ACUGUUUUUUUCUUCUCCUGAGAUUGAGACCUCUCAUUGUUCGGAUUUGAAAAUGCAACUAUUGUAAUAGAACGGGCAGCGCUCGGGGCUGUGUGUGGCUGUGCGUGUGGGUGGCGGAGUGAGAAAGACACAGAGGAGCGCUAACCAGUAAAAGCACAGCCCCCUUCAUUGUCGACACACUGUGCCAACAAGAUCAAAGAGCCAUUCCAAAUGGAGGUCAAGAGGACUUUGAAACUUAGGUGCUAGCCAGACUAGUGAUUAACUGCAAUGGAAAAGUAAUUGUUUGUCUGCUUUACGACAGAUUGCUCAGGACUUCUCAAUUUUUAACCCGGCGAAACUAGCUGAGAACUGGAUUGCGGUCUUCGUGUACAAAAUACUUUGAGUCGCCAGCCGAGAGAAGCAGGCCCAAGAUCUUUUCUUCGAAGAGCAGGAAAGGUAACAUCGCCUUAAGACUUCUGUCAAUGGCAGGAAGACAUUCUUACCCGGCUUCGAAGAGACCAGAAAGUCCUUCAUCAACUUGUUGGGACCAACAUGGUUGAGUACCUGCACCAGGCAAAGGUGACCAGACCCUACCUAUUUGUGUUGGCUCUUGGGGACAAUUGUCUCUGCUCACAGGUGUUUACAAUCAUUAGCGGACAGGCAUUGGAGCAAGGUACACUUUUUGGUGCACUGGAUCAGUGCUUGAAGUUCUAUUAUGUGUUUGAUAUCAACUUUCCCAGACUGUGUGCCCCAGCAUGGGAAUUCCUACAUGCCACGGUGUAUCAGCUGCCAGGCUGUUGCGAGAAUUUUUUUUUCUUCCACUGAACAAGAAUGUAUAAGUACCUGCUCUUGUAUGUAGUGGGAGUGACAGGAUAAUUGUUUGUGUUCCUGUGAGUUUGUCACAUCCUGACCAUAGUUUGCUUUGUAUGUUUGUAUGUUUUGUUUGGUCAGGCUGUGAUCUGAGUGGGCAUUCUAUGUUGGAUGUCUAGUUUGUCUGUUUCUGUGUUUGGCCUGAUAUGGUUCUCAAUCAGAGGCAGGUGUUAGUCGUUGUCUCUGAUUGGGAACCAUAUUUAGGUAGCCUGUUUUGUCAUUGUGGGUUAUUGUCUAUGUCUAUGUUAGUUGCUUGUGUCAGCACAGUUCUUAUUAUAACUUCACGGUUGUUAGUCCUUUAUUGUUUUGUGUUCAGUGCUUUCUGUAAUUAAAAUAUCAUCAUGAACACAUACCACGCUGCAUUUUGGUCAUCGUGAUAGAACAAUGGCUGGAUGAGCCAUGAGCGUCUCAUAUUCCAAUGCUAAUAUGCUCUUAAGACUAUUUAUAGCUCUGUUAAAUUUACUUUUAGUUUGUUUUAAUGAAUUUGUGCCUGCUUUUUGCCUAGUCAAUGGUAUGUGCUUCUUUGCUUUUAGUUCAACUACUGUUGCACACAAAUCUCUAUAUAUUUGUAUGAAUAAUAUAUGACAUUCUUUCUAUAACAAUUUAUUUGAAAUACAAAUGUUACAUUUUGAGGAUUGUGAAUAGUGCUUUAUUUAUGAAAUACAGUUAUUACUUAAAUAUUGACAGUCAUUAGUCCACACAAUGUUUUCCACUUGUUCUCUAUGUAACAAUAUUUUGUGUCACAUCUGUCGUAAGGAGGAGACCAAGGCGCAGCGUGGUAAGCGUACAUUCUUAAUUUAUUAAACAAAUGAACACUGAAACAAAAUAACAAACAACCGAACGGUGAAACUAUAGACAUGAGUGCUAACAGGCAACUACAUAUAGACAAGAACCCACAAAAUACCCAAGGGAAUAUGGUCCCCAAUCAGAGACAACAAUAAACAGCUGCCUCUGAUUGGGAACCAAUUCCGGCCACCAUAGACAUACAAUAAACCUAGACUUACAAAAAAACCUAGAUAUACAAAACCCAUAGACAAGGUAAAACUAACAUACCCACCCUAGUCACUCCCUGACCUAACCAAAAUAAAGAAAACAAAGAUAACUAAGGUCAGGGCGUGACAAUUUUGACCAAAUGUUAUUUUAUGGCAAAACAGCAAGAUGUGUGUGCUGUCACCUAAGAUCGCUUAAGCAGUAUGUGUCAGUGAAUUUGAACAUAUAUUGACUAGCUCUGACACUGUAUGAUCGAUAGAUCUGUGUUAAUACCACUGAAGACAGACAGUGUCACACUCACCAAUGCUUUGUUUUUCUCAGAUUGCGAUCUGAGUGUGCACAGCAAUUUCAGCUGAGGCUUCAGUCAUGUUUGAACUGAUUGGUUCAUGAAAUAAUAUCAAUCAAUUUUAAUAAUCAAUCCUAGCUUUUGAAAUCUUAACUUAUGAAAUAACACAUAAUUAGGCAGUUGGGCUUUGUUUCGGUGUGCUAUUUAAAAAAUAUAUAUUCUUUGUUCAUUAUUGUGGACAAUUCUCUGACGUGCUGUGAUGUAUGUU